rnacentral:rRNA from 1 species
GAUGAACGCUGGCGGCGUACCUAAUACAUGCAAGUCGAGCGAACAGAUGAUGCUCUUGCUCCUUUCACGUUAGCGGCGCACGUGUGUGUAACACGUGGAUAAUCUACCUAUCAGUCUGGUAUAACUUCGGGAAACCGGCGCUUAUCCCGUAUAAUAUAUUGAACCGUAUGGUUCAAUAGUGAAAUACGGUUUUGCUGUCACUUCUAGAUGGUUCCCCGCCGCAUUAGCUAGUUGGUACGUUAACGGCUUACCAAGGCAACGAUGCGUAGCCGAACUGAGAGAGUGAUCGGCCACACGGGAACUGAGACACGGUCCAGACGCCUGCGGGAGGCAGCAGAAGGGAAUGUGACGCAAUAGGCGAAAGCCUGACGGAGCAAGGCCGCGUGAGUGAUAGAGGUCUUCGGAUCGUAAAAAUCUGUUAUUAGGGAAGAACAAAUGUGUAAGUAAAUAUGCACGUCUUGACGGUACCUAAUCAGAAAGCAACGGCUAACUACGUG